AUAGCAUGAUAUGGACACUUACGGAUGAGAUCUUUGAGUCUCUCUCAAGUUUCAUGAAAUAUCUCCCCAUCCAUCUAGAAAAGAUUGGUAAUGAUUUUUUUGAUUU